rfam:Trichuris suis scaffold288.1, whole genome shotgun sequence.
GCAGCUUGUGCGCAAGUCAUUGACACAACUGACUACGGUCAACGGCGAAACGAGAGUGCUCUGUGCGCGGCUCUUUUGCCCGCACCUCGCUGAUCCCCACCGCUGCACCGCUGCUGCUGGCGGUGGCGACGGGCGCACAGCGGUGCCGCCGGAUCCGUCGCCGCUAACGUGGCCUUCGGGUCGACCAAGCGAACGGUCCGGCCUGCGGACUCGGAGCGCACACGCUGCUACCCGAAAGAUGGUGAACUAUGCAUGAGCAGGACGAAGCCAGAGGAAAGUCUGGUGGAAGUUCGGAGCGGUGUUGACGUGCAAAUCACUCGCCCGACUUGUGCAUAGGGGCGUAAGUAAAAUUUGUUUCUCGAAUUUUGUUUAGAGGGCGG